UCUUGAGUUACACUCUCAUCCCAUCACAUUUGUUUGAAAAUCAAAGCGUUAAUAUCACUGGGAUUAAAGAAUACAAAAUUGAAUUUUCCUCCAGUGGUGUAAGUCUAGCUGCCUUCAAUGACAAUAAAACAUCUAAGGCUUUGUGAAACCUUAAGUAUGAGGUACCUGAUAUCUCUAUGAGGUUUUGUUCCCAUCAUGCCAUUUGAUCAUUGCUGCAACCUGAUUGGAGGAGGCACCUGACAAAUGAGAACGUUGAUGGAGUCGGGACUAGAUAACCUGCAUAAGGUCACGUAACCAAGGGAAGACUUCCAUAUUAGAUACAGAUACACCGCGUUUUGAGACAAUCGCUUAAGUGAAUUCGGAGGAAGAACUGGAAGUCACCGAAGCUGAAGAGGAAAGAGGGAGCAGGCAUCUUUCCCCUCAAAGUUCUACAGCUUGAGGUUAUUAGCCAAACGGAUCUUCCCAUUUGUUUCGAAUACUUAAAAAAAAAUAAAUAAAUAACGUGAGAGAUAUUUAAAUUUUGGCAACAACAACAACAACAAAAAUAAUCAGAAGGAGAUAAAAGGAAACGCCUUUCGAGAAAUUGUUUAAAUACAAGAGUGUGAUUAAAGAUAGAACACAAACAAA